AAUGAGACUUCCGCGACAGCGGUCCGCCGAUUGUGCGGAAUAUGGAGGUCCGGGCUGAAAAAUAUGCCCGCGACGCCAUAU
rnacentral:sRNA from 1 species